rnacentral:lncRNA from 1 species
CACUAAGGUUUCUGCUCACUGUGACCUUGAAUUGCACUCUGUCCCCUCCCCUGACCUCUGGCUUUCUCUGCACAGUUUCAGUCCAACCUUCCUGAGAUAGAAGGUGUGAUUGGCUAUGUCAGUCACCCUUCAGUAGAGAUCAUCCCUGACCAGUGUGUGGCUUUGUGCACACUAGUCCUUCUUGGCCUGGGUGCCUGGCCUAGACUGCACAGCUGUGACUACACAAUGGGGAGCAGAGCAGCCCACAUCUCCCCCUCAGAAGGGCACUGGGGAGUGGCAGCCUUCUGAAGCUGGCACCUCGUAACCACAGGCCCUGCCUGGAGCUUCCCCGGUCAGUCCAGGAGAGAGUGUUGGAACCAGUUGAGAAUCCAUGUCCAGGUACCAGCUGGACCAUGUUACGCCUGUGUGGCUGGGGACCAGGGAGAUGGCAUAUCAGAGUGGGUAAAAGAACAGACCGGAGCCUGACUUCCUGGAUUCAAACCUCAGUCUCACCAACCAACUGGCCCAGUGCUCACCUCUUGAAGGGAACUUCAUGUGCUGUAGAACUUGUAGACAACGUAGGCUGGCACCAGAGCCAUGGAGGAGAACGUGAUGCCCCACCCAACCUGGUUGUCCCAGAGUGGGAAGAUGUAGUCAUUACAGGUGAGUGGCUUAAAGUCGAUGAUGCUCACCACCACCAUGUGUAAAUUAAUAAAAGAAACCUCAACUAAAAUUGGAGUCUGGAAGACCUGUAGAGGGAGCUCUAAUGCCUGCCACCCAUUGUCAAUACCCCAAAGAGGAAAGGACUUACCUGGCAUCUCCAACAGCAAGUUGGCUACUACUUUACUACCCCAGCAGGAGGAAGGAAGAAUUUCUUUCUGUCCUUCAACAAGCCCAGCCAAUGGAAAAUACCACAGCUCAGCAAAUGAGAAACCAUCAUCACCCUGGACUCUUACCCUCCUCCAAGGAACUUUCACAGAACAGCCCUCUCUACUCCCCUUUUUUCUCUUUAAAAGCACAAUCCCCUUCUCUGUUCUCCGGCCUUGCCGGUGGUUUUUGCCAUAGCUUGCUUGUCCCAAACUGAAUUCCUCUGGCUAUUCCUGAAUAAACUCAAUCUGCU